AUUCAGAUGACGAGUCCCGAAUAGAACGAAAUGCGCAUCAUGGGU
rnacentral:hammerhead_ribozyme from 1 species